rnacentral:rRNA from 1 species
AGUGAACGCUGGCGGUAGGCCUAACACAUGCAAGUCGAACGGCAGCACAGUAAGAGCUUGCUCUUACGGGUGGCGAGUGGCGGACGGGUGAGGAAUACAUCGGAAUCUACUUUUUCGUGGGGGAUAACGUAGGGAAACUUACGCUAAUACCGCAUACGACCUACGGCUGAAAGCAGUGGAUCUUCGGACCUUGCGCGAUUGAAUGAGCCGAUGCCGGAUUAGCUAGUUGGCGGGGUAAAGGCCCACCAAGGCGACGAUCCGUAGCUGGUCUGAGAGGAUGAUCAGCCACACUGGAACUGAGACACGGUCCAGACUCCUACGGGAGGCAGCAGUGGGGAAUAUUGGACAAUGGGCGCAAGCCUGAUCCAGCCAUACCGCGUGGGUGAAGAAGGCCUUCGGGUUGUAAAGCCCUUUUGUUGGGAAAGAAAAGCAGCAGGUUAAUACCCCGCUGUUCUGACGGUACCCAAAGAAUAAGCACCGGCUAACUUCGUG